rfam:Sphaerobolus stellatus SS14 unplaced genomic scaffold SPHSTscaffold_10, whole genome shotgun sequence.
UGCCCCAUGGCUCAGUUGGCUUUAGCGUCCGACUGUUAAAGUCUCCUAACAAGGUUGCUUGUGAAUCGGAAGGUCGAGGGUUCAAGCCUUUCUGGAGCAG